UUAAGUCGAUAAGAGGGAAAUUAAACUGUGUGAACCUGAAGCUGUUAGCUGUCUCCCCUUUUCUCCCUUUGCCCCACAGUGCACCAUACCAUGCCUAUUUUUUUUAGCAUAUUUUAAAACUGUGGUGAGAACUAACCAGUGCUGAAACAGGGGGUUUCAUGACCCUUACAGAACUGAAUCAACAUAUGCUUGGCAGUAGGUCGUUCCUGAAAUUUUCUCUGCUUAAGGUCUCAGUUUCUCUCUGUUCCUUGCUAGUUAUGGCGAUGUGUAUGUUUACUCCAGCAAUCUAGGCAGUGAUUUAGACAAAGCUCUUAUGUAUCCACCCUUAUUGUCCUACCUGGUCUCAUGGCAUAAAUGUACCUUAGUGCACUUUUAAGUGAGGCACAUAGUAAUAUCAACAAGUUCAUAUCACUGCAGUUUCCAAAGGGAAUGAACACUAGAGGCAGUAAACAAAUCUUUAUGAGAUGCCUUUAAUUCCUUUUUACACAAAUGUUUUGAUUAAUAAAUCAUAAUUUUCAAACAAUAUUUUUAUGAGACCAGGUUGUUAUUGUUUUUACUAUAGUGAAGUAGAAAAAAAUAAUAUAAAAAUUUAGAUCUCAUUUAAUUAGAAAAUAUUACGUGUAUUUAAGCUGUUUAAUGGUGGGUUAAAUCAAACUGCAGCUGGAUAAGGUGUAAAGUAUAGAUACACAUGAAGUACACAAGUACGGUCUUGAUACACUUUAAGUAGCUUAUGUGUACUAAUUGGUUACAUGUAAGUAGAUGUGAGUCUAUUAUAUAUGUCUAACAGUAAUCGCCUAUUACAUGUAUAUAUAACUGAAAAAUACUGGCUGUUCUAUAACUUGGUUACAUGGUAAGUACAUUUUGUUUAACGUAAGUACAAUGACUUCUACUAAGUACUUACAGUAAGUAGUUAAUUACUCUUAAUUGUGGACACCUUGAAAUAAAGUGUUACCACCUUAGACUGCAUACUAAAUACUGCAAUUACAUACUGUAUGCAUUUGCAAAAACAAACAAAUAAACACUUAGUUUAAUCCCAGUUUUUGUGAGUUUCAGUCCUAAAUUUUAAAUGAUCUUGGUAGAAUGCAGUUUCUUAACAAGUAUGCACUUUUCUCUUUUAGAAAUGAAAUUAUCUGUGGGUCAGCAAGAGGCAUUUGAAAUCUUUUUGAGAGACCAUGAAGAUCGUUUACUAAUUGAAAACAACAGAGCUGUUUUGCAACAAAGGUUUGUUGAAGCAAAAACCCUUGGUGAGCAAGUUAACCAGAUUAGGAUCAGAGUCAAUGAACUGAAGUCCCAGCUGAAAAUUAGACGAAAGCAAAUAGCAGCCCAAGGCUUAACAGAAAACCAAACAGCAUCAGAGUCAGACUAUGUUGAGGAAAGAAUUCUUAACCAGAUAGAAGAGGAAAAGAAAAGGGUCACAGUGCAGAGAACACAGAAAGCAGUCCCGACAGCCCUCUCAGCUGCUUGUUAACCAGAGCCUUGCCCCCAGCUGAAUACUCAUCUCCCUCUAUUCCUUUAACUGGACAUAAAGAGACUGAUGCUGAUAUACAGGCCUUUAUCAGAGCCAGACACAACCUGGUCAACAACACAGGAGCGGCAAAAUAAGAACAUUUCUAAUUAAGAACAGAGGAGGACAAAAA